rnacentral:lncRNA from 1 species
UGCUUCUUGAAGCCUGCUCAUAUUGCUUACUGUAGAAAUUUAAAUAGAAAUGAAGAUUGCUAGGAUUGUUUGUAAUUUAGGGUGUUGCCUGUGGAAGGCAGGAGGGUGGUAUGCUCUGAGGCCACCCAGAGUGAGGUUAGUUCGGGGUUUGGACUUUGGCCAUGAAGGAUGGGGUCCCUGUUUGCUUUAGUGUGAGGAGUCGGGCCAUCUUUUGGGUAGACUCACAUCAGCUGAGGUUAGAAUACUGAUACUCGUAAAAACUGCCAUUACAGGAGUUUUCUCUUUGGGGCCAGAUUCCCAUGGGAAUGUACUUGAAGAAUCUUCUUUCAGACCAGGGAAGUCAGUCGUGUGAUGUUUAAGGGCAUCAGGCUAAGACAUGUUAUAGUACAUCUUAUGGUAGGGCUGGUCUGGUCAUUGAGACCAGAAGUCCUUGCAAUCCGCUGGCCACGGACUCUUUUCCUUGGACGGGGCUGGGACAGACUCUAUCACCACUGCUCCCAAAGGGCAAUUUGAUCUGUCCUCCAGUGGUUGACCAGUCGUCUUCCUGCUCUGUACCUGCUUUAGGGACCUUAACACAUCUAAACAGAUUACAGCCCUGACCCUUAGGCUGGGACCUUCUUGUUUUUCUCCUGUGCUUCUUCUCAGUUCUUUAAUCCAGUUCCUUUCAAUUUUCUAGAUUGGAUUCAUGUAAGGAAGUCUUCUUGAGGGAUGCUUUGUUCUAGUCUCCAAGUACUGAAGACAGUCAUUGCAGGAGAUGCCAAUGAUAUUUCACAGAUACCCCACCAGCCAGCCCUGGAGGUAUAUGGACAUACAGACAAAUGCAUUUAAGAAAGAUCUACAGGCACCUGGGUGGCAUGGUUGGGUAAGUGUCCAACACUUGAUUUUGGCUCAGGUCAUGAUCUCAGGGUUGUGGGAUCGAGUCCCAUAUUGGGCUCCAUACUCAGCUCACUCACUCUCUCUCAUAUAAAAAAAUCUUUAAAAAAAAAAAAAAAGGUCUAGAAGACUGCACAGAAGGCUCUUAUUAACAGUUACUUCUGGAGAGAAGCAAGGGAUGGGGUUGUGGAUACUGGGGUGACUUUCACUUUUUAUUUUAUACAGCUUGGCACAGCUUUAAUUU